AGUGAACGCUGGCGGUAGGCCUAACACAUGCAAGUCGAACGGCAGCACAGUAAGAGCUUGCUCUUACGGGUGGCGAGUGGCGGACGGGUGAGGAAUACAUCGGAAUCUACUUUUUCGUGGGGGAUAACGUAGGGAAACUUACGCUAAUACCGCAUACGACCUACGGGUGAAAGCAGGGGAUCUUCGGACCUUGCGCGAUUGAAUGAGCCGAUGUCGGAUUAGCUAGUUGGCGGGGUAAAGGCCCACCAAGGCGACGAUCCGUAGCUGGUCUGAGAGGAUGAUAGGCCACACUGGAACUGAGACACGGUCAAGACUCCUACGGGAGGCAGCAGUGGGGAAUAUUGGACAAUGGGCGCAAGCCUGAUCCAGCCAUACCGAGUGGGUGAAGAAGGCCUUCGGGUUGUAAAGCCCUUUUGUUGGGAAAGAAAAGCAGCAGGUUAAUACCCCGCUGUUCUGACGGUACCCAAAGAAUAAGCACCGGCUAACUUCGUG
rnacentral:rRNA from 1 species